rnacentral:rRNA from 1 species
GAUGAACGCUGGCGGUAUGCUUAACACAUGCAAGUCGAACGGACUCUUCGGAGUUAGUGGCGGACGGGCGAGUAACGCGUGAGAAUCUGGCUUUGGGUUCGGGACAACCACUGGAAACGGUGGCUAAUACCGGAUGUGCCGAGAGGUAAAAGAGAAAUUGCCUGAAGAUGAGCUCGCGUCUGAUUAGCUAGUUGGUGAGGUAAAGGCUCACCAAGGCAGCGAUCAGUAGCUGGUCUGAGAGGAUGACCAGCCACACUGGGACUGAGACACGGCCCAGACUCCUACGGGAGGCAGCAGUGGGGAAUUGUCCGCAAUGGGCGAAAGCCUGACGGAACAAUACCGCGUGAGGGAAGAAGGCUCUUGGGUUGUAAACCUCUUUUCUUAGGGAAGAACAAAAUGACGGUACCUAAGGAAUCAGCAUCGGCUAACUCCGUG